UUUUGAUUAAUAAUUUAAAGUCUAAUCUGCCCCCUGAUAUUAUAUUAAAGGGCUGCAGUAUUUUGACUGUACAAAGGUAGCAUAAUCAUUAGUCUCUUAAUUGGUGACUUGUAUGAAAGAUUUGAUGAAAUAUAUACUGUCUCUUUUUAAUUUAUAAAAUUUAAUUUUUUAGUUAAAAAGCUAAAAUAUAUUUAAAAGACGAGAAGACCCUAUAGAGUUUUAUAUUUAUAUAAAUUAGAAUUUUUUAUAAGAUUUAAAAUUUUAAUAUGAUUAAAUAUUGUGUUGGGGUGAUAAAAAAAUUUGAAUAACUUUUUUUAUAAAUUAACAUUUAUAAAUGAAUAAAUGAUCCGUAAUUUACGAUUAUAAGAAAAAAUUACCUUAGGGAUAACAGCGUAAUUUUUUUUUUUAGUUCAAAUAAGAAUAAAAGUUUGCGACCUCGAUGUUGGAUUAAGAUAAAAUUUAAAUGCAAAAGUUUAAAAUUUUUGAUCUG
rnacentral:rRNA from 1 species